rnacentral:lncRNA from 1 species
UAUGAAAAACUUGUUUAACUUGUCUCUUUAGACCUAUAUAAAAAAGUCAUCUAAGUGUGAAUAUAAUCUUCCUCCAUUUUAUUCCAGGAAAAAUGAUGGAUGCUCUCACAAGAGGCAUUUGGGAUAGAUUGAGUUCAGUUUACCUGUGUUGUACAAAACAACAUUAAGGACAUUUUCACGGUGCUGCGGAAAAAGAGAACACACUCCAUCAAGGCUCAC